CUUAAACUUGCUCUGCGUAGGUGCGUCUUCCUUAAGACAGCAGUGGGCAGGGAGAGUGAAGUGUUGCAGGAAAUGUGCACACUGCGUCUGUAUGACCACACAGGGACAUAACCACACUGCCAUAAGGCUCACGGGAAGGUGGGGGAAGCUUUAGGUCUGCAUUUCAGUCACAGGUGAGCAUGAGGAGGUUUUUCAGAACUCACAGGGACGAAGACUACAGUCAGAUCCAGUAUCUGACGGCCAAGUGCACCCGCCUGGCACAUGAUAAAGCAGUGCUCGACAGGGAGUUCCUGGUGUCCAGAGACAGGGAAAGGAGGCUACACAAUGAUCUGGAAGCUGUGACCGCUCGACUCUGCCACCAGGAGCAGCUGAACACGCAGCUCGGGAUGAAGCAGGACGAACUCAUUGGCAGGAUCCACCAGCAACAGGAGCUGGUGGACUUGCUGCAGCAGCGUGUGGUCCUUCUGGUGAAGGAGAGCUGUCGGGAUGGGGAGCUAUUGCAGCAGGUCAGCUCAGAGCUGCUCUUCCUGCAGAGCUCUGAGGUGAAGCUGGAGGGCCUGGUGAAGGAGCUGCACGCCGAAGCCCAUCACAGAGCUGUGGUGGCCGAGAGCCUGCUUGCAGAGCUCCGCAGUAAGGCGGUGGAACUGGAGAGGCUACAAGAAACUAACAAAACACUGACAGAGGAGCUGGAGGAGCUGCGUGCGACUCACCAAAAGGAGGUGAGGGAACUGCAGCAGGAGAACGAGACGAGUCUGGGGAAACUACAGGAGACGGCAGAGCAGUUCGAGUGGCUCUGUCAGCAACAGCGCUACUGGAUGGGUUGUGUCAAAAGGUUCAAAGACUGCCUGAUGGAGGAGAGAGAAACUCUGCUCCGACAGGUCAGAAUGUUGGAGAAGAAGGCCAAGAAACUCAAGAAGAAUUUACAUGAUGACAGUUCUGAAGAAAGCGUCCUCUGUCCUCUGCAGGACACCGAAUGCUGUGACAGCAGUAUCACAUCGUGGGAUGUGGAUGCUGAGGCCGACCUGGCGUCUCAAGUGGACAAAUCGAACACGCUGUAUGAGGAGCUCUUUAAACAGCGUGCGUUGAGGAACUUUUGAUUGCAAAGCCAUUUUGCAGUCAAACAGGACCCCCACAAAGCCCCACAAAGAACUCGUCCAGGAAGUGUUCACAAAUCCUGACAAACGCUUCACCCUCCUGCAGGAUUUUUUUUUUUCAUAGUGAACAACCCAAAAGGUGCUUGCUUUGGGAUUUUUUAAAAGCUCCCUCAUCUUCACAGUGACAAGUUCAGUGUUUUAAAGUCUGUGGAUAAGAGGAAGCCUGACAGACAGAACAUUAGGCUGAUACUCGUGUGCUGCCAGUCCCCAGAGGAGCUGCCGCGCUGCCAAAGCCUUGAGAGAUCGCUGAUACUUUCUGGGCACCGGAGUCACAUCAGGCCUUUUCUCCGUCUGUCUGUCGGCUGCACAUGGCCUCGUCCCAAGCCGCCCGGGUCCUCUUCCAAAGCAGCAGAGGGAUGACUAAUAAUGACUGGAGGGAGGUGAUUGCCUCUGUGCUUCAUUCCCCUCACCUCUCACGGGCUCUGCAGUGCAUUUCUUGGGAUAAUUAUUCUGAUUGAGUGCAGAUGAUGCAGGGUGCUUUUUUUUUUCCUUCAGCCCCUGCAGAGCUGAGAGAGGGAAGGGACGUAGCUGGAGGAGCAGGGAUUGCCGGAGACAAAGAGGAAAUAACCGUGAUUGAACACAUGUCUAGCUUUGACACAUAAACUGUAGAUUCACACUCUGUGCACGUGCGUUAGUUGCAAGUUGCUUUUAUCUUGCUCAAAAUGCAAUUUCAGUGGCUCUUUCAACUUGACUUAGGACAUGUUGUUUAUAGAAAAUGGAUGGAUGGAUGGAAAAAAAAAUCUUCGUGGAUAGAUCCCGCUGCUGGGCAGCAGGCAGAGAGUCCUAUUAACAGAUACCAGAAACCUCCUUGAGGGCAGAAGCCUGGAGCCUGGACUCAUCUUCUCACUUUCUACAAACCAGAAGAUAACUGCUAGAUGUUUGUGUGUGGUUAGCUCUGUGGAAUACUUCCCAGUCACUGUCAAAACAUAAAAAAAUAAACACAUGGAAAGCCAUAAUCCUGAAA